rnacentral:tRNA from 1 species
GCUCCCAUCGUCUAGUGGUUAGGAUACGGCCUUCUCAAGGCUGGGACAGGAGUUCAAUUCUCCUUGGGAGUACCA